rnacentral:rRNA from 1 species
UACGUAGGGGGCAAGCGUUGUCCGGAUUUAUUGGGCGUAAAGAGCGUGUAGGCGGCUUUACAGGUCCGUUGUGAAAGCUCGAGGCUCAACCUCGAGACGCCGGUGGAAACCGUAAGGCUAGAGUCCGGAAGAGGAGAGUGGAAUUCCUGGUGUAGCGGUGAAAUGCGCAGAUAUCAGGAAGAACACCCGUGGCGAAAGCGGCUCUCUGGAACGGUACUGACGCUGAGGCACGAAAGCUAGGGGAGCAAACGGG